AAUUGAAUAUGAAGUUAAGGUGCCUUUAAAAAGGAGAAUAGGGAAGUGGGUUUAAAUCCCACACGGACCCACCACUGUAGUUGCGGACAAGUCUUUAAUAAAUCACUGUAAGUUUUAUGGGAAGAUUAAGAUGAGGAGGAUGCAUAAGUCAGGAGACCUGCCUUAAUGUACUAGUUAUGU
rnacentral:ncRNA from 24 species